GUGCUUGCUUCGGCAGCAUAUAUAUUAAAAUUGGAAUGAUACAGAGAAGAUUAGCAUGCUCCCCGCAAAAAAGAUAGUAAUUAUCUAUCUGGAAUUUCUAAUAGUUUA